rnacentral:lncRNA from 1 species
GUGCAUGGAAAACGAAUCCUAUACAUACCAAAGUCCGAAUCUCAGUGCCUUAGAAUGACCUUGAUACCAAAAACUUUAAGUUACUACUUCCAUAUAUGUAAUAUUUUAGUUUGGGGAGAGAGAUUGGCAACGAAGAGUAAUUCCUGAAUUUAACAGCCAAGUUUGUUAUCCCUAAUCUAAAGAGAGGAAUACUUAAAUUGUAUUAACGACAAAAAUUAGCCUCCUCUGAAGAUUCAUCCCUGAAAUAAGUCAUCUUUCUGACUUUGUGGCAACUGUG